GCUUCACCCUUCCAGCAGUGAGGGGCCUCGAGCUGCUCUCACCAAACGAGGCGCACUGCAGUACCAACAUGCCUGCGCGUCCGGGCCAGUACCGGAUCGCCGGCCGAGGGGAUCCUCCCAGUAGGGCUGCGGGCCGAGUCUCUGCCAUGCCAUGUGGCGGUGGCCAUUGACGGGAACUCGCGUUGGGCGCACGCACGGGGCAUGCCGACGUCGGCCGGGCACGCCGCUUUGCAGCCCGCGCUGGAGGAGACGGUGCGGCUCUCAUGCGACUGGGGAAUCCGCGUGCUCACUAUCUUCGCCUUCUCCCAUCGGAACUGGAACCGUCCCAAGAAGGAGGUUGACUUUGCUAUGGGCGUGUUCAAUCGGUUCAUCCAGGACAUGUCGCCCAGUUUGUUGUGGGAUGGGAUUCGUCUACACAUAAUCGGUGACUUGCCAAGGCUCCCGGCUUAUCUGCAGAAGACUCACAAGGCCGAGGAGGAAACAAGAAGCAACUCACAAACCGACCUGAUGCUAGGUAUCGGCUACAGUGGGCGAGCGAACAUCUUGCAAGCAUGCCAGAAGCUUGCCCAAAAGGCGCACAACAAGCUGCUCAGACCGGAGGACAUCGAUGAGUCACUAUUCGCCGACGAGCUCGAGAUGAGCUGGACAGACGAGUUCCCUUACCCUGACCUACUCAUCAGGACCAGCGGCGAACUCAGGCUCAGCGAAUUCAUGCUUUGGCAGUUGGCUUACACCGAGCUCUUCUUCACCGACGCGCUCGGGCCUGAUUUCGGGGAGGCCGAAUAUCUCGAAGCUCUUAUGUCCUUCCAGAGCAGAGAGAGGCGUUUUGGUAAAAGAAUACUGUAG
rnacentral:rRNA from 1 species